UCGAAGGUGCGUGUGAGCGGACGGGUGAGUGCGGAGUGUGCUAGCGUUGGUGGGAAUGUGUGGGCGUAUAGGGUGUGGAGGGGGUCUGGUAAGGCGUAUGUGAAAUCCCCGCGCGCGACGAGGGAACUGCGUCGGAUAGUGGCCGACUUGAGGACCGGUGAGGAAGGUGGAAUUCCUGGUGUAGCGGUGAAAUGCGUAGAUAUCGGGAGGAACACCGGUGGCGAAGGCGGCCUUCUGGACGGAUACUGACGCUGAGACGCGAAAGCGUGGGGAGCAAACAGGAUUAGAUACCCCUGUAGUC
rnacentral:rRNA from 1 species